UACGGAGGGUGCAAGCGUUAUCCGGAUUUACUGGGCUUAAAGGGUGCGUAGGCGGGUUGCUAAGUCAGUGGUGAAAGAUUUGAGCUCAACUCAAAAACUGCCAUUGAUACUGACAAUCUUGAAUAUAGUUGAGGUGAGCGGAAUGUGUCAUGUAGCGGUGAAAUGCUUAGAUAUGACACAGAACACCGAUUGCGAAGGCAGCUUGCUAAACUAUUAUUGACGCUGAGGCACGAAAGCGUGGGGAGCGAACAGG
rnacentral:rRNA from 1 species